rnacentral:rRNA from 1 species
AAAGACCUUGUGCUUUUGGAGCGNGCCGAUGUCUGAUUAGCUAGUUGGUGGGGUAAAGGCCUNACCAAGGCGACGAUCAGUAGUUGGUCUGAGAGGACGACCAGCCACACUGGGACUGAGACACGGCCCAGACUCCUACGGGAGGCAGCAGUGGGGAAUUUUGGACAAUGGGCGCAAGCCUGAUCCAGCAAUGCCGCGUGAGUGAAGAAGGCCUCCGGGUUGUAAAGCUCUUUCAGUCGANGAAGAAAAGNACUGCGGUGAAUAACUGUAGUUCAUGACGGUANNUCGACAGAAGAAGCACCGGCUAACUACGUGCCAGCAGCCGCGGUAAUACGUAGGGUGCGAGCGUUAAUCGGAAUUACUGGGCGUAAAGGGUGCGCAGGCGGUUUUGNUAAGUCAGAUGUGAAAUCCCCGGGCUUAACCUGGGAAUU